UACGUAGGUGGCAAGCGUUGUCCGGAAUUAUUGGGCGUAAAGCGCGCGCAGGCGGUCUUUUAAGUCUGAUGUGAAAGCCCACGGCUCAACCGUGGAGGUUCAUUGGAAACUGGAGGACUUGAGUGCAGAAGAGGAAAGUGGAAUUCCACGUGUAGCGGUGAAAUGCGUAGAGAUGUGGAGGAACACCAGUGGCGAAGGCGACUUUCUGGUCUGUAACUGACGCUGAGGCGCGAAAGCGUGGGGAGCAAACAGG
rnacentral:rRNA from 1 species